GCAAGCGUGAAGGUAAUUGGCAAACCUAAGUGUCUUAGAAACACUUGUCUGUGGGUUCGACUCCCACCGCUUGUA
rnacentral:tRNA from 1 species